rnacentral:rRNA from 1 species
AUGAACGCUGGCGGCGUGCCUAAUACAUGCAAGUCGAGCGGUAAGGCCACUUCGGUGGUACACGAGCGGGCGGAACGGGCUGAGUAACACGUAGGAACAUACCCCAAACUGAGGGAUAACUGCUCGAAAGAGUAGCUAAUACCGCAUGUGAUCUUCGGAUUAAAGCUACGGCGGUUUUGGGAAUGGCCUGCGUAAGAUUAGCUUGUUGGUGAGGUAAUAGCUCACCAAGGCGACGAUCUUUAGCUGGUCUGAGAGGAUGAUCAGCCAGACUGGGACUGAGAAACGGCCCAGACUCCUACGGGAGGCAGCAGUAGGGAAUUUUCCACAAUGGGGGCAACCCUGAUGGAGCAACGGCCGCGUGCAGGAUGAAUGCCUUCGGGUUGUAAACUGCUUUUCUCUCUGUGACGAAUAUGACGGUAGCAGAGGAAUAAGGACCUGCUAACUACGUGCCAGCAGCCGCGGUCAUACGUAGGGUCACAAGCGUUAUCCGGAAUUACUGGGGCGUAAAGAGUUGCGUAGGUGGCAUGUUAAGUCAGUAGUGAAAUGACGGGGCUCAACCCCGUGUCCAUUACUGAAACUGGCAAGCUAGAGAAAUGUGAGAGGUACCUGGAAUUCCCUGUGUAGGAGUGAAAUCCGUAGAUAUAGGGAGGAACACCGAUGGCGUAGGCAGGGUACUGGCACAAUUUCUGACACUAAGGCACGAAAAGCGUGGGGAGGCAAACGGGAUUAGAUACCCCGGUAGUCCACGCCCGGUAAACGAUGAGUGCUAGCUGUAUUCGGUAUCGACCCCGGAUGUAGCGAAGCUAACGCGUUUAAGCACUCCGCCUGUGGAGUACGGUCGCAAGACUAAAACAUAAGGAAUUGACGGGGACCGCACAAGCGGUGGAGCGUGUUGUUUAAUUCGAUGGUAAGCGAAGAACCUUACCCAGGUUUGACAUCCUCGGAAUUUCUCCGAAAGGAGAAAGUGCCUUUGGAAACCGAGUGACAGGUGCUGCAUGGCCGUCGUCAGCUCGUGUCGUGAGAUGAUUGGUUUAAGUCCAUCAACGAGCGCAACCCUUAUAGUCUGUUGUAUUUCUCAGGCUAGACUGCCCUGGCAACAGGGAGGAAGGGGGGAUGAUGUCAGGUCAGUAUUGCCCUUACACCUGGGGCUACAAACACGCUACAAAUGGCCGGUACAAAGGGCUGCCAAAGCGCAAGCUGGAACAAAUCCCAUCAAAGCCGGUCUCAGUUCGGAUUGCAGGCUGAAAACUCGCCUGCAUGAAGCUGGAAUCGCUAGUAACGGUAGGUCAGCACACUACCGUGAAUACGUUCCCGGGUCUUGUACACACCGCCCGUCAAACCAUGAAAGUCGGGGGUACCUGACGUCUUUAGCUAGCCUAGGCCUAAGGUAAACUCGAUGAUUGGGGUU